rnacentral:rRNA from 1 species
GAUGAACGCUGGCGGCGUGCCUAAUACAUGCAAGUCGAGCGAACAGACGAGGAGCUUGCUCCUCUGACGUUAGCGGCGGACGGGUGAGUAACACGUGGAUAACCUACCUAUAAGACUGGGAUAACUUCGGGAAACCGUAGCUAAUACCGGAUAAUAUAUUGAACCGCAUUGUUCAAUAGUUAAAGACGGUUUUGCUGUCACUUAUAGAUGGAUCCGCGCCGCAUUAGCUAGUUGGUAAGGUAACGGCUUACCAAGGCAACGAUGCGUAGCCGACCUGAGAGGGUGAUCGGACAGACUGGAACUGAGACACGGUACAGACUCCUACAGGAGGCAGCAGUAGAGAAUCUUACGCAAUGGGGCAAAGCCUGAUGGAGGAAAGCCGCGGGAGUGAUGAAGGUCUUCGGAUCGGAAAACGAUGUAAUUAGGGAAGAACAAAUGUGUAAGUAACUAUGAACGUAAUGACGGUACCUAAUCAGAAAGCCACGGCAAACUACGUG